ensembl:snoRNA
GUUCCUGUUUUAGUACCGCCCAUCCGCUUCCUGUCCGGGUGUGUGGCUAUGCUAACAGGAUAGAUGAACGUCUGUCAUGAUCUGAGGGGGUGUGUGGCCACGCCCCCACUGCCCCUACAUGAGAUGACAGCACAGUGAUGU